rnacentral:rRNA from 1 species
UACGUAGGGGGCAAGCGUUGUCCGGAAUCACUGGGCGUAAAGCGCGUGUAGGUGGAACAUUAAGUCUGCUGUGAAAGCGCCUGGCUUAACCGGGCGAGGUCGGUGGAAACUCCGGAUCUAGAGGUCGGUAGAGGGGAGUGGAAUUCCGGGUGUAGUGGUGAAAUGCGUAGAGAUCCGGAGGAACACCUGUGGCGAAGGCGGCCCCCUGGGCCGAGCCUGACGCUGAGACGCGAAAGCGAGGGGAGCGAACGGG